CAGUCGAACGGUAACAGGAUGUGCUUGCACAUCGCUGACGAGUGGCGGACGGGUGAGUAAUGCUUGGGAACAUGCCUUUGUGAGGGGGAUAACAGUUGGAAACGACUGCUAAUACCGCAUAACGUCUUUGGACCAAAGGGGGCUUCCGCUCCAGCGCCAAGAAUGGCCCAAGUGAAAUUAGCUUGGUGGUGGGGGAAAGGCUUACCAAGGGCACGAUCUCUAACUGUUCUGAAAGGAAAAUCAACCACACUGGGACCGAAAAGCGGCCCAAACUCCUACCGGAGGCAGCAGUGGGGAAUAUUGGACAAUGGGGGGAACCCUGAUGCAACCCUGCCGCGUGGGUGAAGAAAGCCUUCCGGUUGUAAAGCACUUUCCGUUGUGAAGAAAGGUUAGUUGUUUAUACCCAAUAACCGUGACGUUUGACACUAAAGAAACAACGGGCAACUCCUUGCCCCCUGCCCCCGUUAUACGGAAGGUGCAAGGGUUUAUCGGAAUUACCGGGCGUAAAGCGCAAACCGGCCGUUUGUUGAGCUAUAAGUGAAAGCCCCAAGCUCCAGCUUGGAAGGGCCUUUUGAACUUGAUAACGUAAGUCUUGGGUAAGGGAGUGGAAUUCCGAGUGUAACGGGGUAAAUGCGUAAAGCUUUGGAGGAACAUCGAUGGCCAAUGGCACUCGCUGGUCCCAG
rnacentral:rRNA from 1 species